GCUAAACGCGAAGAACCUUACCUGGUCUUGACAUCCAUGGAAUCCCGAAGAGAUUCGGGAGUGCCGCAAGGAACCAUGAGACAGGUGCUGCAUGGCUGUCGUCAGCUCGUGUCGUGAGAUGUUGGGUUAAGUCCCGCAACGAGCGCAACCCUUGUCCUUAGUUGCCAUCAUUAAGUUGGGAACUCUAAGGAGACCGCCGGUGACAAACCGGAGGAAGGUGGGGAUGACGUCAAGUCAUCAUGGCCUUUAUGGCCAGGGCUACACACGUGCUACAAUGGCAGGUACAGAGGGAAGCCAACCGGCGACGGGGAGCUAAUCCCAGAAAGCCUGUCUUAGUCCGGAUUGCAGUCUGCAACUCGACUGCAUGAAGUCGGAAUCGCUAGUAAUCGCAGAUCAGCAUUGCUGCGGUGAAUACGUUCCCGGGUCUUGUACACACCG
rnacentral:rRNA from 1 species